rnacentral:antisense_RNA from 1 species
UGGAAAAGGGAUGUUUCACCGCCUUUUAAUCUAUCUAUCUGCCUGUCUAUCUGUCUAUCAUCUAUCAGUCAUUUUGCCUCCUGGACAGUUGGCUGACGAAGUGUCUGAUAAACCAGCUUCAGAUACAUGCUACAAAAGGCUACUGAGCUGGCCUGAUGAUGAUCCAGCUGAGAUAUAUUUAUAGCAGAUGAUUUGUGGAUGAUAACUAUGCCAAGCAAGACACUGUCUCCAGUAACCCCAGGCUCGUCUGACUUCCUCAGGGGAUUAUAAUAAAGAUUCACAAAAAGAACCCUAUAUGGACAGUCUGGUCUCUGGACACUAACAACAGCACAAUCCAAAGGCAAAGCAAGGAGGAACCACCUUGUUUCAUGUCUGCAAGAUGCUCCAUAUGAAAGCAUUGCUGACAUGUUGACCCAACAGCAAAAAGAGAGCAGCAGUUUACACACCCUCAGCUCUCUGUCCUUUCCUUUCUAUUGAUGUUGGUCCACUUUUAUGACUGAAUACAUAUUAAAAUCAACAUUUCAAAUUAUAA